AAUUCUGUCUCCCCGACAUUGCCCCUGGAGGUUCUGAUUCAGCAAGUCUGAAGAGAAGCCCAGGAUCAGCUAGUUUGGGAAGCAUUCUCUGGCCUGUAUCAUGUUGACUGCUUAACAGGUCUUAUAUCUUUAUCUGAAUUUCUUUAUGGUGUCUUAAACCAAGCUGUUUGUGAGUUCAGAUCUGUGUGUGUUGUCAGCAUGAAUGAUAACUGAGGUUUCAAAGUAAGAACAUGAUUAUGACAUCAUGGAACUUGUUCUUGACCUCAGGUGGUGUGAAAUAAUGGAAGUUCAUCCAGUUCAUCCAGUAAAUAUUUACUGAGCCCUUACUCUGUGUCAGACACAGUUCUAUGUGCCAGUGAUGUAGAGUGAAUACAGUAGGAAAACAUUCCUGUUCUCAUGCAGCUGACAUUGUAGUAGAGGGAGACAGGACAAAAGUAAAUACAUACAAUGUACGGAAAGAAGGCUAUGAAAAAAGUUAAGGGAGAUGCUAUAACGAAGUGGCCACGAACAUUCAUAUGCAAGUUUUUGCGUGGACCUGCACUUUUAUUUCUCUUGGGUGUGAAAGGAAACACGAAAGAUCUUUCUUCCUCAUCCCAAGAAGCAGCACCUACCACCAUUCUCAACAAGAAAUAUCUAUGUUAUGGUCACCGACAAGAGUUUACCACCUCGCAACGUCGUGUUGUUACUGAAUUGUUUAUUGUCAGUCUCCCCAGUGUGCACGUUGGCUCCAAGACUGAGACUUCCUCUCUCUUUUCGUCUCUCUAUCUUGGGAAUCUAGAAGGGUGCCUAGCACAUUUGUUGAAUGAAUGAAUAAAGGAAUGAGUUUUUCAAAUGUCGAUUAUGUAAUAUCUCAUUUUUCUCCUCUUUUGAAUAAGGGAAAUAACAUCUCUCUUACAAGAAUAUUGUGAAGAUUAGGUGAUAAAAGAUAGGAAUAUUCCCAACCUCAUUAUUAGAAAAAUAUUGGUUCCAUUUUCUCUCCUCUAAAGAGUGGUUCUCCAAGCAGCCCUGUGGAGGACAUUUUGGAAAUCUGCAGGGGAAUUUCGGGUUUUCAGAGAGAGAAGCAUUGCCCUUUAUCGGGCAGUGUCAUGGAUGCAAGGUGUCCUGCAGUGCGUGGGAGAGCCCCACACAGUAAAUAAUCACUCUGAGUCACUUAGGACUUUUGAUUGUCCCACUGGACUUUCAUGUAGGUUAAAACCUGUUUAUAAUGAUCAAAGCUAGAAUCUGAUUCCGUUACGUAUAAAAACAAAGUAUUUAUGGUGAGUACAGUGUUGUCAGGAAUGCAACUACCAUGGAAGUGUCAAGGGAAGACUGAACUUUCUGAAAUCGAGAUUUUCAAUAUAGAGCUCAGUUGUUGCUGUUGUGGUAUUUUACUGGCAAACGGUUAGAAAAAUUCUAAUUCUAGGGGAGGGUCUAAAAUGAAAAACUAAAAUCUCCCU